UGCAGGGUCGGGGUCCCCGAAGGCGGCGCGGGGGGAGCGGGGGGGCGACUGUCCCCAGGGCUACAAACGGCUCAACAGCUCCCACUGCCAGGACAUUAACGAGUGUGCCCUGCCCGGCGUGUGCCAGCCCGGCGAGUGCCGCAACACCCAGGGCAGCUUCCGCUGCUCCUGCUCAGCUGGGCACGUCCUGGGACCCUCCCGGAGCCAGUGCCUGCCGGAGCCAGGUGAGGAGCGGGGUCUGUGCUUCCGGCUGGUGUCGGGGGCACAGCAGUGCCAACACCCCCUGCCCACCCGCCUGACGCGCCGGACCUGCUGCUGCAGCGUGGGCAAGGCCUGGGGGGGACGCUGCCAGCGCUGCCCCCCCCGAUGGCACCGCUGCAUUCAAGGCCAUCUGCCCGGCGGGGAAGGGGUACCACGUCCUCACAUCCCACCAGACCCUCACGAUCCAGGGCGAGAGCGACUUCACCCUCCAUAUCCAACCCGACGGGACCCCCGAGCGGCCUCCCCGGCC